ACCAAAAAAAUCGGGUGGACUAGACUGCGAGUUGAGCGUCUCUAGCUAUGUUGAGACGCGGCAUACGGCUCAGUACCCUUUGGUUAACCUACCCUCAGGACAGGGACAAACCCGGGAAACCGGGGCUAAUACCAGAUAGGCGAGGACGCCUGGAAUGGUUCUUCACCCAAAGGACCUUGGAAACAUGCUUCCAAGUCGCCUGGGGAUGGGACCGCGUCCGAUCAGGUUGUUGGUGAGGUAAUGGCUCACCAAGCCUAUAACCGGUACGGGCCGUGAGAGCGGUAGCCCGGAGAUGGGCACUGAGACAAGGGCCCAGGCCCUACGGGGCGCAGCAGUCGCGAAAACUCCGCAAUGCACGAAAGUGUGACGGGGCUACCCCGAGUGCCGUCCGCUGAGGACGGCUUUUCCCCGGUGUAACUAGCCGGGGGAAUAAGGAGAGGGCAAGACUGGUGUCAGCCGCCGCGGUAAUACCAGCUCUCCGAGUUGUAGGGAUGAUUAUUGGGCUUAAAGCGUCCGUAGCCGGCUUAGCAAGUCUCCUGUUAAAUUCAGCGACCCAAUCGUUGAGCCGCGGGAGAUACUACUAGGCUAGGAGGCGGGAGAGGUCGACGGUACUUUCGGGGUAGGGGUGAAAUCCUAUAAUCCCGGGAGGACCACCAGUGGCGAAGGCUGUCGACUAGAACGCGCUCGACGGUGAGGGACGAAAGCUGGGGGAGCGAACCGGAUUAGAUACCCGGGUAGUCCCAGCUGUAAACGAUGCGAGCUAGGUGUUGGGGUGGCUACGUGCCCCUUCAGUGCCGCAGGGAAGCAUUUAGCUCGCCGCCUUGGGAGUACGGCCGGCAAGCUAAAACUC
rnacentral:rRNA from 1 species